rnacentral:rRNA from 1 species
GACGAACGCUGGCGGCGUGCUUAACACAUGCAAGUCGAACGGAAAGGCCCUGCUUUUGUGGGGUGCUCGAGUGGCGAACGGGUGAGUAACACGUGAGUAACCUGCCCUUGACUUUGUGAUAACUUCAGGAAACUGGGGCUAAUACCGGAUAGGAGCUCCUGCUGCAUGGUGGUGGUUGGAAAGUUUCGGCGGUUGUGGAUGGACUCGCGGCUUAUCAGCUUGUUGGUGGGGUAGUGGCUUACCAAGGCUUUGACGGGUAGCCGGCCUGAGAGGGUGAACGGCCACAUUGGGACUGAGAUACGGCCCAGACUCCUACGGGAGGCAGCAGGGGGGAAUAUUGCACAAUGGGCGGAAGCCUGAUGCAGCAACGCCGCGUGCGGGAUGACGGCCUUCGGGUUGUAAACCGCUUUCGCCUGUGACGAAGCGUGAGUGACGGUAAUGGGUAAAGAAGCACCGGCUAACUACGUG